rnacentral:rRNA from 1 species
CCCUUAGAUGUUCGGGGCCGCACGCGCGCUACACUGAAGGAAUCAGCACGUCUUUCUCCUUGUCCGAAAGGACUGGGUAACCCGCUGAACCUCCUUCGUGCUAGGGAUUGGGGCUUGUAAUUCUUCCCCAUGAGCGAGGAAUUCCCAGUAAGCGCGAGUCAUAAGCUCGCGUUGAUUACGUCCCUGCCCUUUGUACACACCGCCCGUCGCUACUACCGAUUGGAUGGUUUAGUGAGAUCCUCGGAUUGGUCCCGGCGCGGCCUCUGGUCGUGCCGGAGUGCCGAAAAGAAUGUCGAACUUGAUCAUCUAGAGGAAGUAAAAGUCGUAACA